CCUACGGGCGGCUGCAGUGGGGAAUAUUGGGCAAUGGGCGCAAGCCUGACCCAGCAACGCCGCGUGAAGGAAGAAGGCUUUCGGGUUGUUAACUUCUUUUAAUGGGGACGAACAAAUGACGGUACCCCUUUAAUAAUCCAUGGCUAACUACGUGCCAUCAGCCGCCGUAAUACGUAGGUGGCAAGCGUUAUCCGGAUUUAUUGGGUGUAACGGGCGUGUAGGCGGGAGCGCAAGUCAGAUGUGAAAACUCAGGGCUCAACCCUGAGACUGCAUUUGAAACUGUGUUUCUUGAGUGCUGGAGAGGGAAUCGGAAUUCGGGGUGUAGCGGUGAAAUGCUUAGAUAUAAGGAGGAACACCAGUGGCGAAGGCGGAUUGCUGGACAGUAACUGACGCUGAGGCGCGAAAGCGUGGGGAGCAAACAGGAUUAGAUACCCAUGUAGUC
rnacentral:rRNA from 1 species